UACGGGGGGGCAAGCGUUGUUCGGAAUUACUGGGCGUAAAGGGCGCGUAGGCGGCCCGCUAAGUCGAACGUGAAAUCCCCGGGCUCAACCCGGGAACUGCGUCCGAUACUGGUGGGCUCGAAUCCGGGAGAGGGAUGCGGAAUUCCAGGUGUAGCGGUGAAAUGCGUAGAUAUCUGGAGGAACACCGGUGGCGAAGGCGGCAUCCUGGACCGGUAUUGACGCUGAGGCGCGAAAGCCAGGGGAGCAAACGGG
rnacentral:rRNA from 1 species